rnacentral:rRNA from 1 species
UGAGGAAUAUUGGUCAAUGGUCGAGAGACUGAACCAGUCAAGUAGCGUGCAGGAUGACGGCCCUAUGGGUUGUAAACUGCUUUUAUACGGGGAUAAAAGACAUUACGUGUAGUGUUUUGUAGGUACCGUAUGAAUAAGGACCGGCUAAUUCCGUGCCAGCAGCCGCGGUAAUACGGAAGGUCCGGGCGUUAUCCGGAUUUAUUGGGUUUAAAGGGAGCGUAGGCCGCAGGUUAAGCGUGCCGUGAAAUGCCGUGGCUCAACCAUGGCACUGCGGCGCGAACUGGUCUGCUUGAGUGCGCGGAACGUAUGCGGAAUUCGUGGUGUAGCGGUGAAAUGCUUAGAUAUCACGAAGAACUCCGAUUGCGAAGGCAGCAUACGGCAGCGCUACUGACGCUGAAGCUCGAAGGCGCGGGUAUCGAACAGG